GACGAACGCUGGCGGCGUGCUUAACACAUGCAAGUCGAACGAAGGGGCGAACGGGUGAGUAACGCGUAAUCAACCUGCCCAUAAGGGGGGGACACCAGUGGGAAACGACUGCUAAUACGCCAUACUGAUGGGGGGGACUGCGUCUGGGUAGCUAGUUGGAGGGGUAACGGCCCACCAAGGCGAAGAGCAGUAGCCGUUCUGAGAAGAAGAACGGCCCCCUUGGGACUGGGACACGGCCCAGACGCCUACGGGAGGCAGCAGUGGGGAAUCUUCGGCAAGUGAGGAAAGUCUGACGAAGCACCUCCGCGGUAUGUAUGACGGCCUUCGGGUUUUAAAGCUCUGUUCAUCGGGACGCGGUACCGGAAUAGAAAGCCACGGCUAACUCCGUGCCAGCAGCCGCGGUAAUUC
rnacentral:rRNA from 1 species